GACGAACGCUGGCGGCGUGCCUAACACAUGCAAGUUGAGCGACGAACCAGGGCUUGCCCUGGGGCAAAGCAGCGAACGGGUGAGUAACACGUGGGUAACCUACCCCGAUAACCGGGACAACCCGAGUAAACUCGGGCUAAUACCGGAUGUGCUCACUGGACUUCGGUUCUGUGCGUAAAGGAAGCUUCGGCCUCCGUAUCGGGAGGGGACCGCGGCCCAUUAGUUGGUUGGUGAGGUAACGCAUCACCAAGCCCGCGAUGGGUAGCUGGUCUGAGAGGACGAUCACCCCCACUGGGACUGCGACACGGCCCAGACUCCUACGGCAGGCCGCAGUGGGGAAUCUUCCGCAAUGCGCGAAAGCGUGACGCAGCAACGCCGCGUGUGGGAAGAAGGCCUUCGGGUUGUAAACCCCUUUCAGGAGGGAAGAAGGUUCGGCGGUGAAUAGCCGUCCGGACUGACGGUACCUCCACAAGAAGCCCCGGCUAACUACGUG
rnacentral:rRNA from 1 species